rnacentral:rRNA from 1 species
UACGAAGGGGGCUAGCGUUGUUCGGAAUUACUGGGCGUAAAGGGCUCGUAGGCGGCCAACUAAGUCAGACGUGAAAUCCCCAGGCUUAACCUGGGAACUGCGUCUGAUACUGGAUGGCUUGAAUCCGGGAGAGGGAAGCGGAAUUCCCGGUGUAGUGGUGAAAUGCGUAGAUAUCGGGAGGAACACCAGUGGCGAAGGCGGCUUCCUGGCCUGUUCUUGACGCUGAGGCGCGAAAGCGUGGGGAGCAAACAGG